GGCUCCAUAGUUCAGCUGAAUAGAACGUCAGAUUCCGGUUCUGGAGGUCAUGGGUUUGAAUCCCAUUGGGGUCACAA
rnacentral:tRNA from 1 species